UACGAAGGGGGCGAGCGUUGUUCGGAAUCACUGGGCGUAAAGGGCGCGUAGGCGGCCCUCUUUGUCGCGUGUGAAAGCCCCGGGCUCAACCUGGGAACGGCGCGCGAAACGGGGGGGCUGGAGUUCGGGAGAGGAGAGUGGAAUUCCCAGUGUAGAGGUGAAAUUCGUAGAUAUUGGGAAGAACACCGGUGGCGAAGGCGGCUCUCUGGACCGAGACUGACGCUGAGGCGCGAAAGCUAGGGGAGCGAACGGG
rnacentral:rRNA from 1 species